UUGAGAGUUUGAUCCUGGCUCAGGAUGAACGCUGGCGGUGUGGAUAAGGCAUGCAAGUCGAACGAUCCCGAAGCUGCUUGCAGUUUCGGGAGAGUGGCGAACGGGCUAGUAACACGUGGAUAAUCUACCCCAAAGACAGGAAUAACUUAGAGAAAUCUAAGCUAAUACCUGAUAGUCUAGUAGCUGAUUUUUUUUCACAAGGUAUUUUAAAUUCGAAAUUCGGAUUUAAAAUUUAGAAUUUUCUAAAACGCCUUGAGGAAAAAAAUCAGCUACUAGUAAAACCGCAAGGUGCUUUGGGAGGGGUCCGCGUCUUAUCAGGUUGUUGGUGGGGUAAUGGCCUACCAAGCCGAUGACGGGUAGGGGGCGUGAGAGCGUGGCCCUCAGCAUUGGGACUGAGAUACGGCCCAGACUCCUACGGGAGGCAGCAGCCGAGAAUAUUGGGCAAUGGGCGAAAGCCUGACCCAGCGACACCGCGUGCGGGAAGAAGGCCUUCGGGUUGUAAACCGCUUUUAACUAGGAAAAAGUCUUGUGCUUCGCACAAGGGUGAUUGUACUAGUUGAAUAAGGGGUUGCUAAACUCGUGCCAGCAGCAGCGGUAAUACGAGUACCUCAAGCGUUAUCCGGAAUCAUUGGGCGUAAAGCGUCUGUAGGGGGUUAAUUAAGUCUAAGGUUAAAUACUAGGGCUCAACUCUAGUCUCGCCUUGGAAACUAAUUAACUAGAACCUGUUAGGGGCUAGCGGAACGGACGGUGUAGGGGUGAAAUCCGUUGAUAUCGUCCGGAACACCGAAAGCGAAGGCAGCUAGCUAGGACAAGGUUGACCCUGAGAGACUAAAGCGUGGGUAGCGAACGGGAUUAGAUACCCCGGUAGUCCACGCCCUAAACGAUGGAUGCUAGUUAUUGGGAGAAUCGACCCUCUCAGUGACAAAGCUAACGCGUUAAGCAUCCCGCCUGGGAAGUACGAUCGCAAGAUUAAAACUCAAAGGAAUAGACGGGGGCUCGCACAAGCGGUGGAGCAUGAGGUUUAAUUCGAUAGUAAGCUAAAAACCUUACCAGGGCUUGAAACCCUAUUGAAUCUUAGUGGAAACAUUAAGAGUCUUGGUUUUCCAAGACAAUAGGAUCAGGUGCUGCACGGUUGUCGUCAGCAGGUGGCGUGAGCUGCUCCCUUAAAUGGGGAAACAUGCGCAACCCUCAUCC
rnacentral:rRNA from 1 species